UACGUAGGGGGCAAGCGUUGUCCGGAUUCAUUGGGCGUAAAGAGCGUGUAGGCGGCCAGGUAGGUCGGUUGUGAAAACUGGAGGCUCAACCUUCAGAGGUCGACCGAAACCAUCUGGCUAGAGUCCGGGAGAGGAGAGUGGAAUUCCUGGUGUAGCGGUGAAAUUCGUAGAUAUUAGGAAGAACACCAGUGGCGAAGGCGGCCCACUGGUCCGGUACUGACGCUGAGGUGCGAAAGCGUGGGGAGCAAACAGG
rnacentral:rRNA from 1 species